GGAGAGAUGGCUCAGUGGUUAAGAGCACUGGCUGCUCUUCCAGAGGUCCUGAGUUCAAUUCCCAGUAACCACA
rfam:Rattus norvegicus chromosome 20, whole genome shotgun sequence.